AUACGGAGGGUGCAAGCGUUAUCCGGAUUCACUGGGUUUAAAGGGUGUGUAGGCGGAUAUUUAAGUCAGUGGUGAAAUCUCCGGGCUCAACCCGGAAACUGCCAUUGAUACUAUUUAUCUUGAAUACUGUUGAGGUAGGCGGAAUAUAUCAUGUAGCGGUGAAAUGCUUAGAUAUGAUAUAGAACACCGAUUGCGAAGGCAGCUUACUAAGCAGUUAUUGACGCUGAGGCACGAAAGCGUGGGGAUC
rnacentral:rRNA from 1 species